rnacentral:rRNA from 1 species
AUACGGAGGAUCCGAGCGUUAUCCGGAUUUAUUGGGUUUAAAGGGUGCGCAGGCGGCCAUUUAAGUCAGCGGUUAAAUCGUGGGGCUCAACCCCAUUCUGCCGUUGAUACUGGGUGGCUUGAUUGCGGUCGAGGUUGGCGGAAUUCGUUGUGUAGCGGUGAAAUGCAUAGAUAUGACGAAGAACACCGAUUGCGUAGGCAGCUGACCAGACCGCAAAUGACGCUCAUGCACGAAAGUGCGGGGAUCGAACAGGAUUAGAUACCCUGGUAGUCCGCACAGUAAACGAUGAAUACUUGUUUUCGGCGAUAUAAUGUCGGAGGCAAAGCGAAAGCGAUAAGUAUUCCACCUGGGGAGUACGCCGGCAGCGGUGAAACUCAAAUGAAUUGACGGGG